rnacentral:tRNA from 1 species
GGGUGGGUGGCUCAGUGGUUAGAGCUAGGUCUUGGGUGCGAAAGGUCCGGGAUCGAAUCUCGGUGUUGAUCCA